ACUGUGUAGCAGAAAACAUAUUUUCUGGGGCAGUUACCAUAGCCAUACACUGCACACCUUCUACGCUGGGCAUCGCCAAGAUCAAAACUUUCCACUCUUUGAAGAUCAAACCAUGUCUCAUUUCAACUGGGAGGCUGAUAAAAUGUUAGAUUUAUAUAUCUACCAUUAUCUUACGAAGAGACAAUUGCAUACUACUGCAAGAUUAUUCAAGGCCGAAGCAAAUGUUUCAACGGGUUCUGUUGUUAUAGAAGCACCUUCUGGUUUUCUCUUUGAGUGGUGGUCUGGGACAUAUAUAUUGCCAGGGCAAAUCAGAAGCAGCAUCUUACAGUAAGAUACAAGUGCCCAAGAUGUCCAAACCUCAAAAUGAUCCCCUUCUGCAAUCGGGGACAACUUGUGGAACACUUCUCUAUGAACUUCAUCACAUAGUUACCG